AAUUUGACAAAAGAAUAUAUCACCUUUGGCAUGACCAGCAUCCACAAUAGGUUUCCAUCCGUCAACUUGGUCUUUGGUCCAAAUACCAAGAGAAAAGCUGUACUUUUAGUAAAUGGAAACUACCGUUGCUUCAGCUAUAAGAAGUUCUGAAAGUUGAACGAUAUCAUCAAGCUUCAAACUUUGUAAGCUAACAACGAAGUUAGUGAAUAUAACUCUGUCCUUGUAGCCAUGAAAAGCACUUUAGAGAAAGCAUAGACAUGAUUAGCUUCCUAUAAAAUCAUUAAGCAACUUGGAAAGACCUCACCUAGACCUUGUUUAUCAUAUACAACUUAACUCAACUAAGGUUUUAUCAAAAAAAUUUGGAGUUGGCUAUAUG
rnacentral:misc_RNA from 1 species